rnacentral:rRNA from 1 species
AGCGAACGCUGGCGGCAGGCCUAACACAUGCAAGUCGAACGGAUCCUUCGGGAUUAGUGGCGGACGGGUGAGUAACACGUGGGAACGUGCCCUUUGGUUCGGAACAACUCAGGGAAACUUGAGCUAAUACCGGAUGUGCCCUUCGGGGGAAAGAUUUAUCGCCAUUGGAGCGGCCCGCGUCUGAUUAGCUAGUUGGUGGGGUAAAGGCCCACCAAGGCGACGAUCAGUAGCUGGUCUGAGAGGAUGAUCAGCCACAUUGGGACUGAGACACGGCCCAAACUCCUACGGGAGGCAGCAGUGGGGAAUCUUGCGCAAUGGGCGAAAGCCUGACGCAGCCAUGCCGCGUGAAUGAUGAAGGUCUUAGGAUUGUAAAAUUCUUUCACCGGGGACGAUAAUGACGGUACCCGGAGAAGAAGCCCGGCUAACUUCGUGCCAGCCGCCGCCGUAAUAC